UACAGAGGUCCCAAGCGUUGUUCGGAUUCAUUGGGCGUAAAGGGUGCGUAGGCGGCGCGGUAAGUCGGGUGUGAAAUCUCGGGGCUUAACUCCGAAACUGCAUUCGAUACUACCGUGCUUGAGGACUGGAGAGGAGACUGGAAUUUACGGUGUAGCGGUGAAAUGCGUAGAUAUCAGGAGGAACACCGAUGGCGAAGGCAGGUCUCUGGGCCACUACUGACGCUGAGAAGCGAAAGCAUGGGGAGCGAACAGG
rnacentral:rRNA from 1 species